CCCGCCGCCUCCGCCGCGGGUGGGGGCCCUCGCGGGCGAAACGCGGCGCCCGGCGCCCUUGCACCUCCCUACGCUGGGAGGUAUGUGCGGACUAAGCCCGGGUGCGGGUCCGCGGGCUCAACGGGUGGAUUCGAAGGGUCACGCCCGGGGUUGCUGCCGGGAGUUCCCGCCACAGAAGGAGAGGCUGAAAGCAGUUGGAUGCCUAUGAACAAGGGUUAGUGAUGUGAUACACACCUACAGAGCUAGUUCCAGGAACUGCCUCGAAGACAGACAUUUGAUGCCCACACCCAUGGGCUUCUCCUACUGCACUCCCUGUCCCCACAUGAGGCUCUUCAGUCCUGCUGCAGGCCAAGGGAGUGGUACCUCUAUUGCUACCACCAGUGGCGAUGGACCUCCAUCCAUUUCUUCUGCUUUCAGCUUCUGCUUUUGCUUUAGGAACUGCCUUUCUUGUGUUAGUGAGAGACUCUGCUAACUCAACUGCUGCCGGCACUUCCAUCCAUCAGACCUCUUCCAGCGCUGAAACCUGAGAAACAGCAGGGCCCCAUGACGAUUUCUGCCCUUGUGGCUGACCUCUGCCCUGUGUGCUCAGCAGAAGCCUCUUGGAUUGAUGGAGAUGGCCAAGGCAAAACCACUUCUGUGGCUUACAGAUCUUUUUCAAAGGCAUGAUUUAAUCGGAUCCUCUUUCAGAGCUGUAAGAUAGUUAUUAUUUCUGUUUGAAGAAACAAGAAACUAGGGCACAGAGAGGUUAAGUAGUGUGUUCACAGUCACAGAGUUAAUGGGCAGCUGGGCCAUGAUGUGAACUGAGGUAUUCCGUCUCUCGUAUCUAAACCCAAGUUACAACCAAGCUACUAUAUUUCUAUAAUUAAAAUAUUUAUGGCAACCAAAUUGUAUUACCACAAAGAAUGACUCAUUAUUAGCUACAGGCCAAGAUUGCUCAUAGCCAAAUGCCAUAUUUUAUUUUGUGUUCAAUUUACUAAU